GAUGAACGCUGGCGGUAUGCCUAACACAUGCAAGUCGUACGAGAGUUUUUAACUCUAGUGGCGGACGGGUGAGUAACACGUGAGAAUUUGCCUUUAGGAGGGGGACAACAAUCGGAAACGAAUGCUAAUACCCCAUAUGCUUUCGAGUGAAAUGGAUUUUAUCCGCCUAGAGAGAAGCUCGCGGCUGAUUAGCUUGUUGGUAAGGUAAGAGCUUACCAAGGCGACGAUCAGUAUCUGGUUUGAGAGGACGAUCAGACACACUGGAACUGAGACACGGUCCAGACUCCUACGGAGGCAGCAGUGGGGAAUUUUCCGGCAAUGGGC
rnacentral:rRNA from 1 species